rnacentral:rRNA from 1 species
AGACGAACAGCUCAGUAACCUCUUAUUUGAUUUGAUGUAUUAGGAUUCUAACUAUGUUAAAUUAUAGGUAACAAUAAUACAAUAAGAAUAAGAUCUAUCAGUUUAGUUGUUAAGGUAAUGGCUUAACAAGACUAUGACGGAUAACGGUAUUACUUUGUAAUAUUCCGGAGAAGGAGCCUGAGAGAUUGCUACUAAGUCUAAGGAUUGCAGCAGGGGCGAAACUUGACCUAUGAUAUUAUAUUGAGGCAGUUAUGAGUAGUAUUUUAUAAUUAUUGUAGUAUUGUAAGUACAUAUUACAAGAUAAAUCGGAGGGCAAAUCGAGUGCCAGCAGCCGCGGUAAUACUUGUUCCGAUAGUGUGUAUGAUGAUUGAUGCAGUUAAAAAGUCUGUAGUUUAUUUAUAAUAAGCAUUGUAAGGUAUACUGUAUGGUUAGGAGAGAGAUGAAAUGUGAUAACCCUAACUGGAUGAACAGAAGCGAAAGCUGUAUACUUAAAUGUAUUAUUAGAACAAGGACGUAAGCUAGAGGAUCGAAGAUGAUUAGAUACCAUUGUAGUUCUAGCAGUAAACUAUGUUGAAUCAUAGAUAUAUUUUGAUAUAUAUUUAUGUAGAGAAAUUAAGAUUAUAUUGACUCUGGGGAUAGUAUGAUCGCAAGAUUGAAAAUUAAAGAAAUUGACGGAAGAAUACCACAAGGAGUGGAUUGUGCGGCUUAAUUUGACUCAACGCGGGGUAAUUUACCAGGUAUAACAUGNUAUAAUAUUUUAUCAUGAUAGUGGUGCAUGGCCGUUUCCAAUGGAUGCUGUGAAGUAAUGAUUAAUUUCAACAAGAUGUGAGACCCUCAUUUAGACAGAUGUAGUGAUACAUAUGAAGGAGAGGAUUAAAACAGGUCCGUUAUGCCCUAAGAUAAUCUGGGUUGCACGCGCAAUACAAUAAUAUUUGAUAUUAUAAGGGAUAAUAUAAUGUAAGAUAUAUUUGAANCAUGGAAUUGCUAGUAAAUUUUAUUUAAUAAGUAGAAUUGAAUGAGUCCCUGUUCUUUGUACACACCGCCCGUC